UACGGAGGGGGCUAGCGUUGUUCGGAAUUACUGGGCGUAAAGCGCGCGUAGGCGGACCUGCAAGUCGGGGGUGAAAGCCCGAGGCUCAACCUCGGAACUGCCUUCGAUACUGCGGGUCUCGAGUCCGGGAGAGGUGAGUGGAAUUCCUAGUGUAGAGGUGAAAUUCGUAGAUAUUCGCAAGAACACCAGUGGCGAAGGCGGCUCACUGGCCCGAUACUGACGCUGAGGUGUGAAAGCGUGGGGAGCAAACAGG
rnacentral:rRNA from 1 species